UGGCAAUGCUCGGCUGCUCGUAAGAGCUAAAAAGAAAAGCAGAAGUGGGUCAUGUGCUGGAGGAGGGGAAAGAAUUGAGGGGAAAAGCAGAAGAUGAUCAACAAAUGCUGGUUGAGUUGGAUGACAACACAAGUUGUUAAGAGAAAAGAGGUGAGAUGGGACGAAUCACCUCCACACAAGCGUUAUUCUUCUCCCCAGGGACGAACUGGGUGGGUGACAAGAAAGAGAAAGACAAAGAAAGCAGGAAACAUCUGAGAAAUACAUCGGUAAAUAUACAAACAUGCACUAUGCAACCGAAGAGGAGUUUCUUCCCUCAGGCCAACCAGACUUCCAGCACGCACCUCACUUCUUAACACACUUGCAAUCUCUGCACUCACUGCUGUCUUUGUCACUUUAUCUGUAACGAUUUCCCUGAAAAAUUAUUGCUUUUGGAAAUAACUUCGAAAUAAAUUUGUAUUGCAGA